AUGGGGGAUGCCUAGGCUCCCAGAGGCGACGAAGGACGUGAUAAGCUGCGAAAAGCCGCGGGGAUCGGCACACACGAUAUGAUCCGCGGAUGUCCGAAUGGGGCAACCCACCAUACUGAAGGUAUGGUACCCCGCAAGGGGGGCGAACCCGGUGAACUGAAACAUCUAAGUAGCCGGAGGAGGAGAAAACAAGAGUGAUUCCGGUAGUAGCGGCGAGCGAAACCGGAGAAGCCCAAACCACGUUUGUUUC
rnacentral:rRNA from 1 species